rnacentral:piRNA from 1 species
UAAAAUUGAUACGUUUUAUAUUUCCUUUGC